UAUGCUUCCACUAGGCAUGGAACCCUCUGCAUUCAGUUCUAAGCAGCUCCUCUGUCCUAGUGGGGAACAUGCACAUGGAAGCUGAAGUCUUUCCACUGUUUCCCCAAAUGAUCUCAAGAGUCCAUUCCAGUUCCACAAUGACUGUAUGCUAGCAGAAGAAGGCCAGGAGACAGACCAUGGACCACUUUAAGCAGCCGUGGAAACGGCCGUGGGGCAGAGACGUCGCAGGUCCAUCCUCGCCAUCUGUAAGCAAAAUAAGAAGAACACGCUGUCAGGAGGGCGCCGCAGCGGCCCGUCCCCUCUGCUGUUUAGCGGCAGUCCUAGAGAUCAUGCUGUUGCCAUUGGGGGAUCAGUCCACUCCUCUGGGCCUCAGUUUCCUCCUCUGCAAAAAUAACGGUUGCACUGGGCAUCUGUCAGCACGAGCAGGGCACCUACCUCCUAAAAGCUACCCCCUCCCAGGAAGUGCCUGCCUACCCCUUUAGCACUGUCCUUAAGGGACUUGGUGCCCAAGCUUUGUGUUUUCAGUUGCUGAGACUCAGGUCUGAGGUACCUGAAUGGGGUUGUCAGCAGAGACAGGCAGUAGCUCUAGGAGUAGUGAGCCCCCUGUCUCAGAAGCAGACAAGGGCAGAUGGGAGCUCAACCCACCUAGGGGCUCUCUGCCUAAGAGGAGUGUAGUAUGGUCAAUGCUUCUUGCUCUGUCCCAGGUCUCCACACUCAUCCUCCUGCCCAUUUCCCCAGCUGGAGACCAAUCUGUGCCCAGGGUUGUCACUGGGCCAGGAAAACCACAGCCCUCAAGUAGAGGUUCAAGGUCAGUCUCUUCAUUUGGCUUGAAGCACUGGGCAGGAAUCUGCAGCUGGCUGCAGAGGCUUUACCAGGACUGCCACCAACCAGGUGCAGGGGUGUGGUUAACCAUGUGGAUUAGGAAAAAACCUGAGGUGACCUCAGGAGGCCUGAGCCUCAGACUUAUGCACCGACUAGUCACCCCACAGACUGGAAGAAAAAUGAAAGCCUUGUGCUCUAUAGACAGAGAUGCAACCCCCAGGGUGGGACUGGGGGGCUGGAGGGACUCAACUCCUCCCCAUGUACCACACAUGCUCUGGCCACCCUCACAUCUGUUUACAGGCCCCAUGAAAGCAAAGCCCCAUAGGUCCCAGCUGAUCCCAUCCUCACUCCUAACCAGGAACAUCUGGUGUCCAGGCCAGCUUUUGGGAUAAGCUGGUCCAUGGGGAAAUGCAGGCUGGGGGAGGCGCACCCUGAGGGUUGGUGACAGCUUAGAGUCCAAGAUCAGCCUGUCGGCAGCUCUUCCUUCCUGCUUGGGGCCUCCAAACAUCUGGAGGACCAUUGUUUCAGGAAGUGUGUCACUGGUAGAGGUGGCACAGACCCCCAAACAAGCAAUUCCUGUCCCUAAGUUAAGGCUUUGGUUGGUGACAUCGGUACAGUCCCACAGAGCCCCCUCUCACCCACUGGAUGAGCCUUGAUUCUGCCCAGCAGUCAGAGUCUACCUGCAGUUCAGCCCAGAGGGAAGGACGGUUGGGAAAGAGGGAAAGCUGACUGCCAGUCACGGCACUAUGGAAGGAAGAAUGUGAGAAAAGGCACAGGUAUCUCUGGCCAGGAGGAGCAUGACCAGGAGGCAGACCAGGGCCUGGCAGGCCCAUCUGUCCUCUGAAAGCAACAGGUUGCUAAGGGUAGAGUCUCAGCCACAAGAGGCAGAGCUAGGAGUCCCCUAGCUCUCAGACCUCUCAGAAGACUGGAAGGUGUAUAUGGGCAUUCAGCCAGGAGGCAACCUGCCAUGUGCUGGGCAUGUUCUCAGACCGUCCCGGCUCUAUGCCGCUGUACCUGGAGCCUGACACCCUGUCUACAGGACAAGGCUGGCCUCUGGUUGAGCUGGUUGCCUUUCUCUAGGCAGCAGAGCUUUGUUUAGAGCCCUAUCUUUGAAGGGCAGAGUUCAUGCUCCAUGUCCAGGGAUGGAGAGACCAGAGGAAGCGCCCAUGCCCUGGAAACUAGGUGACACCAGGAUGAGGUACUGAGACUCUGCCCUCAAAGAGGGGUCUUGCUUCAGUUUGAGAUCUGAGCAGGGCCCCUUAAGUAUGUGUCUUUGAGGUUGGGGUGGGGGUGGCACAUGGCUUCUUUUUCCCUGCCAGAACACAUAAGAUACACUCCUAAGCCUUUAUCUUGGGGUAAAGGCAUGAGACAUUGUCCCUUUUAAUGGCCCAACCCUGGGAGUUUCUGUCUUCACAACUGCUCAGCAACCCAAUGUCUAAGUCACAAUCUUUCAAAGAAAAGAGGUGGCUAUAGAGGAGAGCUGCCAUGCUUGCUCUAGGCUGUCUGGAGUCCCCCAGCCCUGACCCCAGAGUGCUGUGUACUCCAGCCUCUGCUCUGGGCUACUGAGAUGAGCCCAAGUACCUGGGGCCUUCAGAUAUCAGUGCUUGUAGGUUGGUACUAAUGUCUGUUAACUUAUUUCAUUUCCACAUGGCUGUAAGACAGGAACCACAGCAGGCCCCUACUUUAUAAAUGAGGAAGCCAGGCCAGAAAGGUUAAGGUAGCUAACCCAAAGUUGCUAAGUAAGCAGGAGGAGGGGGGAUCUGAGCCUAAGCAUAGGCUGCAAAUGGAUCACAGGUCCCAUGAUGUCAAAUGUAGAGUACAGAAUUUCA